GAGCAUUUUGCUCAAUAGAUAGAGCGUUGGACUUCUAUCCAUCAGAUCGGGGGUUCGAUCCUCAAGUGUUCU
rnacentral:tRNA from 1 species